rnacentral:rRNA from 1 species
GGGUGGUAAACCCCUUCUAAAGCUAAAUACUGGCCAGAGACCGAUAGCGCACAAGUAGAGUGAUCGAAAGAUGAAAAGCACUUUGAAAAGAGAGUUAAAUAGCACGUGAAAUUGUUGAAAGGGAAGCGCUUGCGACCAGACUUGUGCCCGUCGAAUCAGCCGCCGCUCGCCGGCGGCGCACUUCGGCGGGCUCAGGCCAGCAUCAGUUCGCUGCAGGGGGAGAAAGGCGGCGGGAAUGUGGCUCUUCGGAGUGUUAUAGCCCGCCGCGCAAUACCCCUCGGCGGACUGAGGACCGCGCAUCUGCAAGGAUGCUGGCGUAAUGGUCGUCAGCGAC